rnacentral:rRNA from 1 species
UAGGGAAUCUUCCACAAUGGGCGAAAGCCUGAUGGAGCAACGCCGCGUGAGUGAUGAAGGUUUUCGGAUCGUAAAACUCUGUUGUUAGGGAAGAACACCCGAGAGAGGAUCUCGGACUGACGGUACCCGAGGAGGAAGCCACGGCUAACUACGUGCCAGCAGCCGCGGUAAUACGUAGGUGGCAAGCGUUGUCCGGAAUUAUUGGGCGUAAAGGAUGCGUAGGUGGUUCUUUAAGUGGGAUGUGAAAUCCCUGGGCUUAACCCAGGAAUUGCAUUCCAAACUGGAGGACUAGAGUGCAGGAGAGGAAAGUGGAAUUCCCAGUGUAGCGGUGAAAUGCGUAGAGAUUGGGAGGAACACCAGUGGCGAAGGCGGCUUUCUGGACUGUAACUGACACUGAGGCAUGAAAGCGUGGGGAGCAAACA